CCUACGGGGUGCACCAGUGGGGAAUAUUGGACAAUGGGCGCAAGCCUGAUCCAGCCAUGCCGCGUGGGUGAAGAAGGCCUUCGGGUUGUAAAGCACUUUCAGUAAGGAGGAAGCGUUGAGUGUUAAUAGUACUCAGCGUUGACGUUACUUACAGAAGAAGCACCGGCUAACUCUGUGCCAGCAGCCGCGGUAAUACAGAGGGUGCAAGCGUUAACCGGAAUUACUGGGCGUAAAGCGCACGUAGGCGGUUUUUUAAGUCAGAUGUGAAAGCCACGGGCUCAACCUGGGAAUUGCAUUUGAAACUGGAAAACUAGAGUGUGUGAGAGGGGGGUAGAAUUCCAAGUGUAGCGGUGGAAUGCGUAGAGAUUUGGAGGAAUACCAGUGGCGAAGGCGGCCCCCUGGCACAACACUGACGCUCAGGUGCGAAAGCGUGGGGAGCAAACAGGAUUAGAUACCCUCGUAGUC
rnacentral:rRNA from 1 species